rnacentral:rRNA from 1 species
ACCCGCUGAACUUAAGCAUAUCACUAAGCGGAGGAAAAGAAAUUAACUAAGAUUGCCUCAGUAACGGCGAGUGAAGCGGCAAGAGCCCAAGCUGGAAAUCUUCACACUGCGUGUGACGAAUUGUAAUCUAAAGAGGGUUCGCUCAACGGGCGGUGGCGCAGAAGUGCCUUAGAACGGGCCGCCAGAGAGGGUGACAGCCCCGUAUGUGGUGCCACUGCCUAACGAGCGGGUCCCCGAAGAGUCGGGUUGUUUUGUAUUGCAGCCCUAAGUGGGAGAUAAACUUCUUCUAAGGCUAAAUACCUAUGGGAAACCGAUAGCGAACAAGUACUGUGAAGGAAAGAUGAAAAGAACUUUGAAAAGAGAGUCAAAAGACUUGAAAUCGUUGAGAAGGAAGCGGUAGAAAUUUAUUCUUCGGCGGGGAACGGUGACUUCUGCCUAUCCAUUGCCGGUUGCCAGCACUUCAUAAGGCUGCGGCCGGCACAUGGGGAAGCGGCUGUCUUGUUCCCCGUCGUGAGGCAAAAUGAGGUCGCACAUCCGCAGAGGCUUCCCAAACCUGGCACGGUUUCGUGCAGUUUGGGUUCGCCGGCGGGCGUGCGGCCUGAGGGUGCUUCGUGCGAUUUUGCCAAAAUGGUUUU